UACGUAGGGGGCAAGCGUUGUCCGGAUUUAUUGGGCGUAAAGAGCGUGUAGGCGGCCUGACAGGUCUGCUGUGAAAACUCGAGGCUCAACCUCGAGAUGUCGGCGGAAACCGUCUGGCUAGAGUCCGGAAGAGGAAAGUGGAAUUCCUGGUGUAGCGGUGAAAUGCGCAGAUAUCAGGAAGAACACCCGUGGCGAAGGCGGCUUUCUGGGACGGUACUGACGCUGAGACGCGAAAGCGUGGGGAGCGAACAGG
rnacentral:rRNA from 1 species